AUUGAACGCUGGCGGCAGGCCUAACACAUGCAAGUCGAGCGAGCGGCGGACGGUGAGUAAUGUCUGGGCAACUGCCUGAUGGAGGGGGAUAACUACUGGCAACGGUAGCUAAUACCGCAUACCAUCAGAUGUGCCCAGAUGGGAUUAGCUAGUAGGUGGGGUAACGGCGUACCUAGGCGACGAUCCCUAGCUGGUCUGAGAGGAUGACCAGCCACACUGGAACUGAGACACGGGCCAGAGUCCUACGGGAGGCAGCAGUGGGGAAUAUUGGACAAUGGGAGAAAGCCUGAUGCAGCCAUGCCGGGUGUGUGAAGAAGGUCUUCGGAUUGUAAAGCACUUUCAGCUGGGAGGCGUUACCCGCAGAAGAAGCACCGGCUAACUCCGUGCCAGCAGCCGCGGUAAUAC
rnacentral:rRNA from 1 species